GAUGAACGCUAGCGGCAGGCUUAAUACAUGCAAGUCGAGGGGCAGCGGGGAUAGCAAUAUCUGCCGGCGACCGGCAAACGGGUGCGGAACACGUACGCAACCUUCCCGGAACAGGUGAAUAGCCCUGCGAAAGUAGGAUUAAUACACCGUAUGAUAUUUUGGUGGCAUCACUUUGAUAUUAAAGGUAGCAAUACCGGUUCUGGAUGGGCGUGCGCCUGAUUAGGAGUUGGUGCGGGUAAUGGCCCACCAAGCCUUCGAUCAGUAACUGGUGUGAGAGCACGACCAGUCACACGGGCACUGAGAC
rnacentral:rRNA from 1 species